UUAACAUUGUUGGGCCCCAGGAGAAUGCGCAAUUUGGAACAGAAACUACCCAAAAUGAAGUACAGAGGAACAAAAGCUUGGCCAUGAGACUUUCCUUGUCAAUAGCCUGUGAGAAGACAUGCUGUUCACCACAACUGAGCAUGAGUUUUGGAGACAUCAUGUGAUUCUACCAGCUCUGUUGCUCUUCCCUCCUUGCUAUGACAAUGGCAUGUUCCACAAAGGGGCUGAAAUAAGAAGACAUGCGGUGCUGAGCCCAGCAGAGCCAAACAAAGUCACGGCAGCUGCAGCCAACCCAUAAAUCCUGACAUAUCACUUGUCCAAAAAAAUCAAAGUUUGUUUUUGUGAACCACUGAGAUUUGGGGGCUAUUUGUCACUGCAGGAAAGGUAACUAAUAGAUAGGAAUUUACUGAAAAUAAAAGAGCAGUAUUAUGUUGCUUCCAAAAGUGGGAAAACUAGCCUACUCCCCAAUGUUAUAUGAAAUUUUACUCUUGGGUCCCAAACGAGCACUCCCUGUACCCAGAGUUUCAAAGAAAUUACUUCAGUUCGUCUCUCUAUCAGGACUUUAUGUCACUUCAAGAAGACACUGGAUUUACUUCCUCCCUUGUUCUCAAAUGACAGUGUUCAAAAAUCAAAACCAAAACAAACAAACAAAAACCUCCACCUUUUACCUCUUGCCAAAAAAUACCAGUGCGUAUGAAUUUAUGCAAGUAGAUACCAGAAGUGGUCACCAGGCCACUAGUCUUGCAAACUGCCACAUUCUGAAACUCAUCCAAAUACAAGCUAGGGCACCGUGUUCUAUCCUCUUUUUAUAGAUGAGGAAACUGAAUCCCCAAGUGAUUACCGUGGUAAGUUUCCAAGGCCACUGCUGUAAGACCUUCAAAUUCAUGUGUUGAAACCCUACCCCCAGUAUGUAAGAAUAUGACUAUAUGAAGAUAGUGCCUUUAAAAAGGUGACUUCAUGAAAAUGAGACAGUUAAGGUGAGCCCUAAUUCAAUCUAACAGUUGUCUUUAUAAGAAGAAGAAAUUUGAACACAAAAUGAGAAACCAGAGAAAGACCAUGGGAGGACACAGCAAGAAGGUGGCCAUCCCCAAGCAAAGGAGAGAAACCUCCAAAGCAACCAAACCUGCUGACACUUUGAUCUUGAACUUCUAGCCUCUAGAACUGUGAGAAAAUACAUUUUGCUGUUUAUGUCACUCGAUGUGUAGUAUUUUGUUAUGGUAGCCUCAGCAAACUAAUACAGUCAAUAAAUUUUAAGUAGAUAAAUUUUAAAUUUAGUCUACAGAACACCAAAGCUUAAUUAUCUCCACAAACAGUAAUUGCCUGCCUCUUCUUAACUAAUAUUGGCUUAUUACUUGUGUUUAUUUAUGUAGAGGUAGGAGC
rnacentral:lncRNA from 10 species